GUCAUGUACAGAUAUGACAGUUGGACUAUAAAGAAAGCUGAAUGCUGAAGAAUUGAUGCUUUUGGGUCCGUCCGUCCCGUCCCGUCCCGCGGUACCGCGCCCGCCAGCCAUGAGCUCCACGCAGUUCAACAAGGGGCCUUCGUACGGGCUCUCGGCCGAGGUCAAGGACCGGCUACAGUCCAAAUAUGACCCUCAGAAAGAGGCAGAGCUCCGAAGCUGGAUUGAGGGACUCACUGGCCUCUCCUUGGGCCCAGACUUCCAGAAGGGUCUGAGGGAUGGGAUCAUAUUGUGCACACUCAUGAAUAAACUGCAGCCGGGCUCAAUCCCUAAGAUCAACCGCUCCAUGCAGAACUGGCACCAGCUAGAAAACCUCUCCAACUUCAUCAAGGCCAUGGUGAGCUACGGCAUGAAUCCUGUUGACCUGUUCGAGGCCAAUGACCUGUUUGAAAGUGGGAACUUGACUCAGGUGCAGGUGUCUCUUCUUGCCCUGGCUGGGAAGGCCAAGACAAAGGGGCUGCAGAGUGGACAUUGGCGUCAAAUAUUCAGAGAAGCAGGAGUGAAACUUUGAUGAUGCCACCAUGAAGGUGGGCCAGUGCAUCAUUGGGCUCCAGAUGGGCGCCAACAAAUGUGCCAGCCAGUCUGGCAUGACAGCUUACGGCACCCGACGGCUUCUGUACGACCCCAAAAACCAUAUUCUGCCCCCCCAUGGACCACUCGACCAUCAGCCUCCAGAUGGGCACAAACAAGUAUGCCAGCCAGGUGGGCAUGACAGCUCCAGGGACUCGGUGGCACAUUUAUGACACAAAGCUGGGGACAGACAAAUAUGAUAAUUCCUCCAUGUCCCUGCAGAUGGGCUACACACAGGGUGCCAACCAGAGUGGUCAGGUCUUUGGCCUGGGCCGGCAGAUAUACGACCCCAAGUACUGCCCUCAAGGCCCAGCGGCCAACGGGACUCCAGCAGCUGCUGGAGAUGGCCCAGGCCCAGGGGAGCCCUCAGAGUGCCCUCCCUACUACCAGGAGGCGGCAGGCUACUGAGACACCCGUGCAGGCCAUCUCCCCACAUCAUUGCCUCAUCUGGGUUUUUGGGUCUUUCUGUGUUUUUUGUCUUGUUUUUCUACGUGUCUGAAUGCUGCCAGUUGAGACUCUGGGGGAAAGGGGUGAAGGCCAUAUCCAGAUGCAUGUGGGGUGGGGGGAUCCCCACCAGGGCAGCUCCAGGCAUCAGGUUUCCCAGCAGACUUUAGGCCAAGCUGUUAGGGGGAAGAAGAAACCCAGGCAAGGAGGGGAACUGGCCCCAAGUGGUUUCCAGUUAUGUGUUCCCUGUUUCUCUUUUUUCUACCGAUCAGUUUGUGGUUUCUGUACCCACAAAAGUUUCAGGCAGUUUUAAUGAAAUGAAAAUACUUUUUCUUCAGGGGAAUGGUGGCAGGGGGUGGAGCUGAGAGAAGGUCAGGCCACAGUCCCAAAAUAUUUUAGGCCUCAUGGAUUUCCCUAGGACUCUCAGAUCACCAAUCCUGGGCCCUCCCAGGGGCCCAGUGGGGACACUGAGGCCCAGGCAGGACAGUGGAGUUCUGAGUGCUUGACACAAAGCCAGCCCCCACCCCCACACUUGUCCCUACUCCCCCACCAAGUACUGCACAGGGACCCCCACCCAGAGGCCCCCACAGGGACCAGCCCCUGCCCAGGAGCCCUAGGACCAAGAAAUAAUGUGAAAAUAACAACUGUGGACCAAAGUAAAUAAAACCUCUUUUUGGAAAUG